rnacentral:rRNA from 1 species
UCGCACCUACCGAUCGAAGGUCAUGAUGAGCCCUCAGGAUAGUUGUUUGGUCCCUCACGGGUCCUUACGGUUAGAAUUUGUGCAAAUCCUUGCCUUUAGAGGAAGGUG